UUCAUCACUAAGAAGAGUGAGAACAAGAGUGAUCCUAGAGAGUGAUCCUCGUUUGUGAGUGUUGAGUGUUUUUUUGUGAGUUUUGUAAAUACUCGUGUAAUCUAUUCUUGUGAGUAAUAGACGUUGUUUUUAUCUCAAUUUGUGUUUAGUAACGCCCAAUCGAUCCACAUACCCCAACGCUAUUAACUUUGUUUUUUUCUUUGUUUUCUGUAAAGGGCUGGGCCAGAUGCGUUUCUUAAGAUUUUUUCUGUAUGAAAUUAGUGUCUGUUGAAUGUUUUUAGGAAAGUGUAUUUGAAGUUUGAAUCUAAAGAAUAAUUUUCAG
rnacentral:lncRNA from 1 species